GCCGGCUUAGCUCAGUUGGUAGAGCACGUGAUUUGUAAUCACGGGGUCGCGGGUUCAAAUCCUGCAGCCGGCACCA
rnacentral:tRNA from 1 species